rnacentral:rRNA from 1 species
CGGGGGAGUAACUAAUUGGAAACGAUAGCUAAUACCGCNUAAAAGUCGACAUUGCAUGAUGUUGACUUGAAAGGUGCAACUGCAUCACUAAGAGAUGGACCUGCGUUGUAUUAGCUAGUUGGUGAGGUAACGGCUCACCAAGGCGACGAUACAUAGCCGACCUGAGAGGGUGAUCGGCCACACUGGGACUGAAACACGGCCCAGACUCCUACGGGAGGCAGCAUG